AUUGAACGCUGGCGGCGUGCUUAACACAUGCAAGUCGAUCGGUAACGCGGGGGCAACCCUGGCGACGAGAGGCGGACGGGUGAGGAACGCUUGGGAAUCUGCCUAUCAGCGGGGGACAACACGGGGAAACUCGUGCUAAUACCGCAUACGCUCUACGGAGGAAAGCCGGGGACCGCAAGGCCUGGCACUGAUAGAUGAGCCCAAGUCGGAUUAGCUAGUUGGCGGGGUAACGGCCCACCAAGGCGACGAUCCGUAGCUGGUCUGAGAGGACGAUCAGCCACACUGGGACUGAGACACGGCCCAGACUCCUACGGGGGGCAGCAGUGGGGAAUAUUGGACAAUGGGGGAAACCCUGAGCCAGCGACGCCGCGUGGGUGAAGAAGGCCUGCGGGUUGUAAAGCCCUUUCGGUAGGGACGAAAGCUCUCGACCUAACACGUCGGGAGGUUGACUUAACCUACAAAAGAAGCACCGGCUAACUCUGUGCCAGCAGCCGCCGUAAUAC
rnacentral:rRNA from 1 species